AUUGAACGCUGGCGGCAUGCUUUACACAUGCAAGUCGAACGGUAACAGGCCGCAAGGUGCGGACGAGUGGCGAACGGGCGAGUAAUGCAUCGGAACGUGCCCAGUCGUGGGGGAUAACUACUCGAAAGAGUAGCUAAUACCGCAUACGAUCUGAGGAUGAAAGCGGGGGACGGGAAGGGCACGCGUGAGUGGAGCGGCCGGUGUCAGAUUAGGUAGUUGGUGGGGUAAAGGCACACGAAGCCAACGAUCUGGAGCUGGUCUGAGAGGACGAGGGGCCACACUGGGACUGAGCCACGGCCCAGACUCCUGCGGGAGGCCGCAGUGGGCAAUUUUGGACAAUGGGCGCAAGCCUGAUCCAGCAAUGCCGCGUGCAGGAAGAAGGCCUUCGGGUUGUAAACUGCUUUUGUACGGAACGAAACGGCUCUGGUUAAUACCCGGGGCUAAUGACGGUACCGUAAGAAUAAGCACCGGCUAACUACGUG
rnacentral:rRNA from 1 species